CAAGUUGUUCAAUUGAAAAUGGUAGUAGAAGACAAUAUUCGCUUUAAUCUAACUCACGUGAUUUCGACAUUAUUUUAAAUUUAACUCAUUCACAAAAUGGGUAGAAAUAAGCAAAACAUUACAGUUUUAAUGGUCUACUAUGUCCUCUAGCGAGUUUCUAGAAACAUUACAGGUUGUCGGCAUAUUAUUUAACUAAUUGCCCCUCUUUUAAUACCUUUUAUAAUCUUAGAAUUUUUAAAGCAUUUGUAGUUGUAAUAGGAUACAUUGGCGUGAAAUGUUAAACUAUCUUUUUAAAGAUUAUUAAUAAUGAUACCACAUAAGUAAUUAUUUUCCCUUUCUUCGAGCUCUUCGUAAACCUACUUUAGAUUCUUCUUUGUUAUCAUCUGAUUAAAUAAAUUUAAGGUAUUUCGUGUACAAAUUUCCUUUACAAUAAAGUGUUAGGUACAGCUGUCAUUAGUUGUUUGAGAUCUUACUAUUUGACUGCUCUCAUAUGUAGAAAAAGUAAAAUCAGUUCUUUCCAUGGUUGUCAAGGUUUUGAUAUGCGUCAGUUUUUGAUUGUUUUAACCAUUUAUAAAGCCGUUCUUGCUAAUAAG